CACGUAGGGCGCAAGCGUUGUCCGGAAUUAUUGGGCGUAAAGAGCUCGUAGGCGGUCUGUUGCGUCCGCUGUGAAAACUCGGGGCUUAACCCCGAGCCUGCAGUGGAUACGGGCAGACUAGAGGUAGGUAGGGGAGAAUGGAAUUCCCGGUGUAGCGGUGAAAUGCGCAGAUAUCAGGAGGAACACCAAUUGCGAAGGCAGCUCGCUGGGACGUAACUGACGCUGAGACGCGAAAGCGUGGGGAGCAAACAGG
rnacentral:rRNA from 1 species